UCCGAACAAACCGGCGAAGAUGUUAACCAGAUUCAGGCUUGGGUGCAUACACAUAGAGGAUUGGACAAGAGCAAACCUUUAAUUCUCAACACACCAGAAGCAACUAAAUGUUUGGCACUUUACACAGAAAAGGCUAAAGAGUUAAAUGGAGAGGACUAUGAUAUCCUGAAAAAUGAUGUUAGUUCUAAGCCACUUUAUGAUUGCUCUAAUGGGAAGCCACAUGGUACAUGGUCUCUCUUUAAUGGCAUUGUCAAUGACAUCGAGGUCAUUUCUGAGGUGAGAGCUACUGGUACAUCUUCAGCAGCCUUGAAGCGUCGUCGAGCUGAAGAAAUUUAAGAUGUGCGUCAAAAGGAGUCCGAGAAGACUCGAAAAGCAGAGGCUUAUGCCAACAAUGUCUUGUCAUGGGGUGUUGGCAUGUACGAGCACUGCAAUGAGAUACAAAAGUUUCUUCAGACUUUGGCAACUAAGCAAGGAGUGCCUAUUGGAGAAAUACCACCGCCGCCGGUUCCACCUCCUUUUCGUUCGCUUUCUCCUCCUGGAUCUCCGCAACGAUGUACCAUCCAAGUAUGUAAUCAUCCAUCUCAAGCAAACACACACACACACACACAUUAAUACAUUUAAAGCAUGAUAAGGGUUACUUCUAAAACCUGGCUCUUCUUUUGCAGAUUCUAGAAAAUAGCGAAGAAUCGCCAGCUUUGUGUGCUCAAAAAGAAACAAAUCCUAGCUCUAAUAAUGAACAUGUUACUGCUGCAAGUGUUCCUGCUGUAGACGAUGAAGGGAUGUUUGGGGGAUUUUUUAGUUAGUCUGGAACCAGUGCACUAAGCCUAUCGCUAUUGAGCAGUCAGUUGGUUCCUUGAUGUUCUUGGAUGUACAGUGCGUGGAGUAAUAUUUUGGUGCAUGUAUAGUUAACAUGCUAGUACAUGUUCUGUAAUGUAGGAAACUCUAGUUGACCUACAUCAGUAUGUACAUGCUAAUUGAGAUGCUUAAUCAGUUAGAUGUAGCAAACUCUAGCUAGCAAGCCUAUUUUUUGGUCAAACAUGUGAUGGCUGGUGAUGUCUUGGCAUCUACUGUAUGCAUGUGACGAUUGGUAUCUAUAUAUA